rnacentral:rRNA from 1 species
UACAGAGGGUGCGAGCGUUAAUCGGAUUUACUGGGCGUAAAGGGCGCGUAGGCGGUGAGAUGAGUGUGGUGUGAAAGCCCCGGGCUUAACCUGGGAAGUGCAUCGCAAACGAUCUGACUGGAGUAUAUGAGAGGGUGGCGGAAUUUCCGGUGUAGCGGUGAAAUGCGUAGAGAUCGGAAGGAACGUCGAUGGCGAAGGCAGCCACCUGGCAUAAUACUGACGCUGAGGCGCGAAAGCGUGGGGAGCGAACAGG